GGGUUGUGAGGUUAAGCGACUAAGCGUACACGGUGGAUGCCCUGGCAGUCAGAGGCGAUGAAGGGCGUGCUAAUCUGCGAUAAGCGCCGGUAAGGUGAUAUGAACCGUUAUAACCGGCGAUACCCGAAUGGGGAAACCCAGUGUGAUUCGUCACACUAUCAUUAACUGAAUCCAUAGGUUAAUGAGGCGAACCGGGGGAACUGAAACAUCUAAGUACCCCGAGGAAAAGAAAUCAACCGAGAUUCCCCCAGUAGCGGCGAGCGAACGGGGAGGAGCCCAGAGCCUGAAUCAGCAUGUGUGUUAGUGGAAGCGUCUGGAAAGGCGCGCGAUACAGGGUGACAGCCCCGUACACAAAAGCGCAUGUGCUGUGAGCUCGAUGAGUAGGGCGGGACACGUGGUAUCCUGUCUGAAUAUGGGGGGACCAUCCUCCAAGGCUAAAUACUCCUGACUGACCGAUAGUGAACCAGUACCGUGAGGGAAAGGCGAAAAGAACCCCGGCGAGGGGAGUGAAAAAGAACCUGAAACCGUGUACGUACAAGCAGUGGGAGCNNNNNNNNNNNNNNNNNNNNNNNNNNNNNNNNNNNNNNNNNNNNNNNNNNNNNNNNNNNNNNNNNNNNGGGCGUUAAGUUGCAGGGUAUAGACCCGAAACCCGGUGAUCUAGCCAUGGGCAGGUUGAAGGUUGGGUAACACUAACUGGAGGACCGAACCGACUAAUGUUGAAAAAUUAGCGGAUGACCUGUGGCUGGGGGUGAAAGGCCAAUCAAACCGGGAGAUAGCUGGUUCUCCCCGAAAGCUAUUUAGGUAGCGCCUCGUGAAUUCAUCUCCGGGGGUAGAGCACUGUUUCGGCUAGGGGGCCAUCCCGGCUUACCAACCCGAUGCAAACUGCGAAUACCGGAGAAUGUUAUCACGGGAGACACACGGCGGGUGCUAACGUCCGUCGUGAAGAGGGAAACAACCCAGACCGCCAGCUAAGGUCCCAAAGUCAUGGUUAAGUGGGAAACGAUGUGGGAAGGCCCAGACAGCCAGGAUGUUGGCUUAGAAGCAGCCAUCAUUUAAAGAAAGCGUAAUAGCUCACUGGUCGAGUCGGCCUGCGCGGAAGAUGUAACGGGGCUAAACCAUGCACCGAAGCUGCGGCAGCGACACUGUGUGUUGUUGGGUAGGGGAGCGUUCUGUAAGCCUGUGAAGGUGUGUCGUGAGGCAUGCUGGAGGUAUCAGAAGUGCGAAUGCUGACAUAAGUAACGAUAAAGCGGGUGAAAAGCCCGCUCGCCGGAAGACCAAGGGUUCCUGUCCAACGUUAAUCGGGGCAGGGUGAGUCGACCCCUAAGGCGAGGCCGAAAGGCGUAGUCGAUGGGAAACGGGUUAAUAUUCCCGUACUUGGUGUUACUGCGAAGGGGGGACGGAGAAGGCUAUGUUGGCCGGGCGACGGUUGUCCCGGUUUAAGCGUGUAGGUGUGUGUUCCAGGUAAAUCCGGUUCACUUUAACACUGAGGCGUGACGACGAGGCACUACGGUGCUGAAGCAACAAAUGCCCUGCUUCCAGGAAAAGCCUCUAAGCAUCAGGUAACAUCAAAUCGUACCCCAAACCGACACAGGUGGUCAGGUAGAGAAUACCAAGGCGCUUGAGAGAACUCGGGUGAAGGAACUAGGCAAAAUGGUGCCGUAACUUCGGGAGAAGGCACGCUGACACGUAGGUGAAGUGAUUUACUCAUGGAGCUGAAGUCAGUCGAAGAUACCAGCUGGCUGCAACUGUUUAUUAAAAACACAGCACUGUGCAAACACGAAAGUGGACGUAUACGGUGUGACGCCUGCCCGGUGCCGGAAGGUUAAUUGAUGGGGUCAGCGCAAGCGAAGCUCCUGAUCGAAGCCCCGGUAAACGGCGGCCGUAACUAUAACGGUCCUAAGGUAGCGAAAUUCCUUGUCGGGUAAGUUCCGACCUGCACGAAUGGCGUAAUGAUGGCCAGGCUGUCUCCACCCGAGACUCAGUGAAAUUGAACUCGCUGUGAAGAUGCAGUGUACCCGCGGCAAGACGGAAAGACCCCGUGAACCUUUACUAUAGCUUGACACUGAACAUUGAGCCUUGAUGUGUAGGAUAGGUGGGAGGCUUUGAAGUGUGGACGCCAGUCUGCAUGGAGCCGACCUUGAAAUACCACCCUUUAAUGUUUGAUGUUCUAACGUGGACCCGUUACCCGGGUUGCGGACAGUGUCUGGUGGGUAGUUUGACUGGGGCGGUCUCCUCCUAAAGAGUAACGGAGGAGCACGAAGGUUGGCUAAUCCUGGUCGGACAUCAGGAGGUUAGUGCAAUGGCAUAAGCCAGCUUGACUGCGAGCGUGACGGCGCGAGCAGGUGCGAAAGCAGGUCAUAGUGAUCCGGUGGUUCUGAAUGGAAGGGCCAUCGCUCAACGGAUAAAAGGUACUCCGGGGAUAACAGGCUGAUACCGCCCAAGAGUUCAUAUCGACGGCGGUGUUUGGCACCUCGAUGUCGGCUCAUCACAUCCUGGGGCUGAAGUAGGUCCCAAGGGUAUGGCUGUUCGCCAUUUAAAGUGGUACGCGAGCUGGGUUUAGAACGUCGUGAGACAGUUCGGUCCCUAUCUGCCGUGGGCGCUGGAGAACUGAGGGGGGCUGCUCCUAGUACGAGAGGACCGGAGUGGACGCAUCACUGGUGUUCGGGUUGUCAUGCCAAUGGCACUGCCCGGUAGCUAAAUGCGGAAGAGAUAAGUGCUGAAAGCAUCUAAGCACGAAACUUGCCCCGAGAUGAGUUCUCCCUGAGACUUAGAGUCUCCUGAAGGAACGUUGAAGACGACGACGUUGAUAGGCCGGGUGUGUAAGCGCAGCGAUGCGUUGAGCUAACCGGUACUAAUGAACCGUGAGGCUUAACCUUACAACGCCGAAG
rnacentral:rRNA from 1 species